CCUGCAUCCAGAGUGGCGGAGGGACUGGCCCGAUGAAGCCCGGCAACCGGCGGCUCCAUUUGCCGUGCGGUGCCAAAUCCUGCAGGACCUUUUCGUAGGGGUCCUGGGAGAUGCGGG
rnacentral:ncRNA from 1 species